UGGGGAAUAUUGCACAAUGGGCGCAAGCCUGAUGCAGCCAUGCCGCGUGUGUGAAGAAGGCCUUCGGGUUGUAAAGCACUUUCAGCGAGGAGGAAGGUGGUGAACUUAAUACGUUCAUCAAUUGACGUUACUCGCAGAAGAAGCACCGGCUAACUCCGUGCCAGCAGCCGCGGUAAUACGGAGGGUGCAAGCGUUAAUCGGAAUUACUGGGCGUAAAGCGCACGCAGGCGGUUUGUUAAGUCAGAUGUGAAAUCCCCGGGGCUCAACCUGGGAACUGCAUUUGAAACUGGCAAGCUAGAGUCUCGUAGAGGGGGGUAGAAUUCCAGGUGUAGCGGUGAAAUGCGUAGAGAUCUGGAGGAAUACCGGUGGCGAAGGCGGCCCCCCUGGACGAAGACUGACGCUCAGGUGCGAAAGCGUGGGGCAGCAAACAGGAUUAGAUACCCUGGUAGUCCACGCUGUAAAACGAUGUCGAUUUGGAGGUUGUGCCCUUGAGGCGUGG
rnacentral:rRNA from 1 species